CGACGCCGCGUGGGGGAUGAAGGUCUUCGGAUUGUAAACCCCUUUCGGGAGGGGAGAUGGAAUGGGGUAACCCAUUCGGACGGUACUUCCAGAAGCAGCCACGGCUAACUUCGUGCCAGCAGCCGCGGUAAUACGAAGGUGGCAAGCGUUAUUCGGAUUUACUGGGCGUACAGGGAGCGUAGGCGGUUCGGUAAGCCCUUUGUGAAAUCUCCAGGCUUAACCUGGAAAAGUCGGAGGGGACUGCCGGGCUAGAGGACGGGAGAGGAGCGCGGAAUUCCCGGUGUA
rnacentral:rRNA from 1 species